rnacentral:rRNA from 1 species
UACGUAGGGGGCAAGCGUUGUCCGGAAUCAUUGGGCGUAAAGCGCGUGUAGGCGGUCCGGUAAGUCCGCUGUGAAAGUCGGGGGCUCAACCCUCGGAUGCCGGUGGAUACUGUCGGGCUUGAGUACGGAAGAGGCGAGUGGAAUUCCUGGUGUAGCGGUGAAAUGCGCAGAUAUCAGGAGGAACACCAAUAGCGAAGGCAGCUCGCUGGGACGGUACUGACGCUGAGGCGCGAAAGCGUGGGGAGCGAUCCGG